CGUUCCGUUUGGACGCUGGGCCGAUUGGACGCGUUCCGUUUGGACUCCGGGCCGAUUGGACGCGUUCGUUUUGGACGUCGUGCCGUUUGGACGCCGCGCCGUCCCAUAUUAACCAUGUCUAUACAUAAAGAUGGUGUUCGGUGCGCUUACAUUAAUUACGAUUGUUUAAAAUUAUAAUUGUAACGUGGUGAAGUUUAUUGUUAUUAAAUUUUGUCAUGAAGUUCGGGAAGUCUUAUCGAACUUUGUCAUUGAAUGAUUACAAUGAAAUAAAGUUCAUUAUUUCUGAAUUCUGUAGAAUCUAUUUAUAAUAUUUGUGCAUGUAUCUGUGAAAGAUUCGACACUUAAAAUAUAAAAAUAUCCUUAAAUAUGAUGUGCUGAAAAAUAAUGUUUCUUGUGACAGUUUUUAAGUGAUUCUGUGUUUAUAAUAGUUCUUGUAUCUGUUGGAAAAUAAGAAUCAGAAACGAAGUUGACAUUAGUAUUUUCUACCUAUUAAAAGAAUAUAUGUAAUAGACAUCAGCAUUUUACUUUGAAACUAUAAUGAAUUUGUCAGGAGUUGCUUAACCAGAGUCGAACAGUUACCUACUUUAAGGUUAUAGAGUGAAAACACUGUUUUGUGGAAAUUAUCAGACUCGUUUACUAUGUUGAUGGUGUAAGUAUAUCUACAAUAUGUGUAAUAUGGUGAAUACUAUACAAAUAAACUGAUUUAAUGCAACCUCCGAUGGAUAUAAAAAGCUAUACACAUCCGGGUAACAGCAAACUGAAGGAUGAGUCGCUUAUUUCAUGACCCAGAUACAGUCAGAGAAAUAUUUAUAAAUUUUGACAGCAUCUGUUCAGAUAUUGAUGGGGAAAUUACAAUCAGAGAAUUAUGGAGCUGAGAAAUUGAAUACAUACCUUAAUGAAAUUAACUAGUGCAGAUGAAACACUAACACAAAUAAAAAAAAGGUACUCUGAAAACCGAGAUGCAAUUACUUCCUCGCAAGAUAUAUCUGGAAAUAUGUUUGAGCAUUCGUUCAGAUAUUGAUGGGGAAAUUAUAAUCACAGAAUUAUGGAGCUGAGAAAUUGAAUAGAUACAUCAAUGAAAUUAACCAGCGUAGAUGAAAUACUAGGAGAAAUAACAAUAUAGGUACUCUGAAAACAGGGAUGCAAUUACUUUCUUGCAAGAUACAUCUGGAAAUAUUCUUAAGGAUUUACUCAGACAUUGAUGAGGAAAUUGCAACUAAAAAAUUAUGCAGUAGAAAAGUUUGAUAGAUACAGUGAAGAAAUUAUCCAAAGAAGAGGAUUAUUAAAUCAGAUAGACAAAUUAUUUUAUUUCAUCUAAUCACUUCACAUUAUUUUUUACUAUUUUUCACUUAGGUUAUUUAUUGGUAUUUAUUUAUCUUGAAUAUUUUACUUCUUUUAACUACUCUAACUUUAGAUGAAUGUACUACUUUUCAUUUUAUUUAUUUCACUUAGCUCAUUUCAUUUUACUUAGUUGUUAUACUUAUUUUAUUUAUAUAUUUAUUUUACCUAUUUUCUUAUUUUAGCUAACAUGGUACAAAUUAGUUUCUACGUAGAACACUAUAGUAUUAAUAACAAGUAAGAUAGUUAAGAAAGUAAGAAAAUGGAAAAUGGAAAAAUAUAUUAAAAGCUUUGUAACAGGUUUGGGAACGCUCCUGAUAAAAGCCCCAGGCAAUCCUGCAGGGGAAGUUUAAUAAACUUAUCUAUCUACUUAUUUCAGCUAUUUACUUUACCUUUUUUUAUUAAUUUAUUUUACAUAUUGACCUUGUUUACUUAUUUAUUUAUUUUAUCAUACUGUCUACUUAGUCUAUCUUAUCUUAUUUGACUAGCAUAUUUUAAGUAAAUAAAUUAAUAGGAAAGAAUGAGACUUUUGAACUGUAAUUUCCUUAAUAUAGAGUUUAAUUAACCGUUCACAUUGUCUUCUUCUACAUGCAAAUAAAUACUUUUGUCGAGUAAGAUUUUAUAAAUAACAAAAACAAGUUGUAAUAUCAGAGUACUUAUUUUACUAUUCACUUUCAUCUAUUUUGUAUCACUUGUAUGGUGAUUACAAAUCUCAAAUUCAUAGCAUUCGAUUAAAACAGUUCAUCUAAAAUAUUUCAUUAUUCAGACCAAUCAGAAAAAGUAUUGGAAUAUUUAGAAAUGAGACGGUUUCGACUACCGUCUCUCUGAGGAGACAGUCCGGCCGCUAAGAAAGACGGAGAUACGGUAGUCGGAACCGUUCCAUCUUACUUGAAGGAGCAACGUUGGAAGUGGAACUGGAACGUGUGCUUCAGGAGUGGUUUUCCCCUACUUGGCCAGGCCUGCUGUGCAGGAACAUUAAUGUGGUAGUAUAAUUAUUAUGUAGAAGUUGUCUUCCGUAAAGAUUUACGCCGCUGUGUUUGGAUACACAUCUUCUCCAAAACAACUUGGGGGCUCAUGUUACUACUACGCGUUUCUAUACUUGAAACAGGUUUCUGCCAAUUCUUAUCUACAAAAAAUGAAAAUGUAGAACAUGUAACUGUCGUUCAAAUUAAAUUAUGUUCUAUAACAUUAUUCAAACUGAAUUAAUAAACAGAAUAUUAAUAUUCUGAAAUUAAUAAACAGUAUAUACGUACUCUCUCCAUCUGCAGUUAUUGCGUGUACGUUUUGGGUACGUACACGAUCUUCAGCCAACAUUACGCCGCUAUGAUCUAAAGAACGAUACAGAUAAAAAUAGUAACAUUGAAUAAGAAAAAACAAGGUGGGAUCAGCUUGCACGCCAGGUGCACGCAUAAACUCCGUGUGUUCCUAGAUAGCUGAUAUUAGCACGUGGUUUUAAAAGUGGACAAACAAUUUUGUCGUUUAAAGAUAUUGUUGCACGUAGCUAUCUAGGAACCCACGGAGUUUAUGCGUGCAUCUGGCGUGCAAGCUGUUCCGACCUCGUUUUUACAUGUAUCUCUACGGAAAGUGAUAAAGUCUCAAUAUCUUUUGACUCCGACUAUCUAGAAAUACAAACGCCACGAUUUUGAGCGUUUCUCAUCAAGACCUUUCCAACGGAACCAAAUUUGUAUCUCUAGCACAUGUAGUUGCUGAGGAAUAAAAUGCAACGAUAGACGGACGCACACGGAGCGGGAAUAUAAGGUUCCUAUCUAGGAAUAAUUUAUUAACAGACGCGAUAUUUGCCGCUUCUGAAAAAGUAGAACAAAGUAAACAAAAAACAAGGAUAAUGAAAAAUAUAUAUAUUAUUUCUGCUGAAAAGAAAAUACCUGUAACAAAUGUUAUUUUUGGAAAUUCAUUACAUUCAUCAACGGUCGCGGUGGGUACCUUUUCUGAAAAAAUAAAAGAACGUAAACAAAAACAAAAAUAAUGAACAAAA